rnacentral:rRNA from 1 species
AGUGAACGCUGGCGGUAGGCCUAACACAUGCAAGUCGAACGGCAGCACAGUAAGAGCUUGCUCUUACGGGUGGCGAGUGGCGGACGGGUGAGGAAUACAUCGGAAUCUACUUUUUCGUGGGGGAUAACGUAGGGAAACUUACGCUAAUACCGCAUAUGACCUACGGGUGAAAGCAGGAGAUCUUCGGACCUUGCGCGAUUGAAUGAGCCGAUGUCGGAUUAGCUAGUUGGCGGGGUAAAGGCCCACCAAGGCGACGAUCCGUAGCUGGUCUGAGAGGAUGAUCAGCCACACUGGAACUGAGACACGGUCCAGACUCCUACGGGAGGCAGCAGUGGGGAAUAUUGGACAAUGGGCGCAAGCCUGAUCCAGCCAUACCGCGUGGGUGAAGAAGGCCUUCGGGUUGUAAAGCCCUUUUGUUGGGAAGGAAAAGCAGCAGGUUAAUACCCCGCUGUUCUGACGGUACCCAAAGAAUAAGCACCGGCUAACUUCGUG